GUCAUAUGACAACCUUAUUGUUAGCGUAGUUUGUGCAAGUUAAUUACAAACGGAGGAAAAAAGAAAAGUCGACGGUGCUGGUGGACAACGUAGUUAUAUAUUAAAAAGAAAUCGGCAAAAAAAAAAUGCAACUGACACCGUGUUGCUAAAUUACUUGCCACAAUCAGAAGAUGCAGUUGGAUUUACAAACUUCACUAAGGACGUUGGCACAAGAUUUUAGUAUCAUAUAAAAUAUCAUUUGACAAAUAGUCCCGACUGAUGAACGAUUGGCAAUAACUUUACGUUUUUUUGGAACUAACAAUUCCUUUACUUGACAAUAUCUUUUUAAAGUAUUGAAAUAACUUGUACUUGAAACAGUUUCAAGAUUACACCAAGUCAUUGCGUUGAUUUUUUCUGCUUACUGCUGCAUUUCAACUGUAUAUCGGGGAAAAUUGCUGUGAAUGACAGGAGCAUAGUCACAGUCCGACAUCUCGAUAAGAUCACCCGCAUUACGAACGCUUCCCCAGUUUCUUGCUCGCGCACAUCUCCCGCACUGACUCAACGUCAAAGCCCAAAUUACUAGCAUGCGAACCUCUCAAUAAAUGCGCUCAGCCUGUGAGAGCCUGUGAGUCAGGAGCACACGUAUGGUGGAGGUAUUGGAAUUCGUGAAAAACUCUACACCUCAGGGGCUUUGGCGUUCUUAUUAAGAGGUUGGAUUGUACGGUUUACAUGAAUAAGUAUGUCGUCCAAUCCAGAAGCUGGAAUGCAAAUUCUUGCCACUUUUGAUAAUACUAAAAAUUUCUCAAACUAUCGAUGAACAACAAUACUCAGUGGAAACUAUUUUCUCAAUUGAAAAUCCCAGUUCAGUACUGUCUUAAUGACUGCAGUGGAUGCUGAUUACAAUUUCAUGUUCG